AACGUAGGAGCCAAGCGUUAUCCGGAUUCACUGGGCGUAAAGCGCGUGCAGGCGGCUGGGUAAGUUGGAUGUGAAAUCUCCUGGCUCAACUGGGAGAGGCCGUUCAAUACUACCUGGCUUGAGGGCGACAGAGGGAGGUGGAAUUCCGGGUGUAGUGGUGGAAUGCGUAGAGAUCCGGAAGAACACCGGUGGCGAAGGCGGUUAGCUGGGCAGUUGCUGACACUGAGGCGCGACAGCGUGGGGAGCAAACGGG
rnacentral:rRNA from 1 species